CUCAGAACCUGACCCCUGAAGAUGACUUUUGCCCCAACUUGAGUAGACACUACCCUAGUUGAGGCCCCCCACAGCUAAGGCCCUUCCAUCAUGUUUUGUAACUCCAACUUAAGUAUAUUAACUCCAAUAUUUGCCAAAUGAAUCUGAACCUUACCAUAUAGGUGUCUGUAAAACACCCAGUGUAAUGUGCACCUUCUCCAACACCGUUACUCUAUUUUAAC